rnacentral:rRNA from 1 species
GUAUAAGAGACAGCAGCAGCCGCGGGAAUACGUAGGGUGCAAGCGUUAAUCGGAAUUACUGGGCGUAAAGCGUGCGCAGGCGGUUAUAUAAGACAGAUGUGAAAUCCCCGGGCUCAACCUGGGAACUGCAUUUGUGACUGUAUAGCUAGAGUACGGCAGAGGGGGAUGGAAUUCCGCGUGUAGCAGUGAAAUGCGUAGAUAUGCGGAGGAACACCGAUGGCGAAGGCAAUCCCCUGGGCCUGUACUGACGCUCAUGCACGAAAGCGUGGGGAGCAAACAGGAUUAGAUACCCCAGUAGUCCCUGUCUCUUAUAC